UACGUAGGUGGCUAGCGUUGUCCGGAUUUACUGGGCGUAAAGAGCGCGCAGGCGGUCGUUCAAGUCGAGUGUGAAAGCCCCCGGCUCAACUGGGGAGGGUCACUCGAUACUGAUCGACUCGAAGGCAGGAGAGGGAAGCGGAAUUCCCGGUGUAGUGGUGAAAUGCGUAGAUAUCGGGGAGGAACACCAGUGGCGAAGGCGGCUUUCUGGCCUGCUCUUGACGCUGAGGCGCGAAAGCUAGGGUAGCAAACGGG
rnacentral:rRNA from 1 species